ACUGAGCGGCGGACGGGUGAGUAACGCGUGGGUAACCUGCCUUACACAGGGGGAUAACAGUUAGAAAUGACUGCUAAUACCGCAUAAGACCCCGGUACCGCAUGGUACAGAGGUAAAAACUGAGGUGGUGUAAGAUGGACCCGCGUCUGAUUAGGUAGUUGGUGAGGUAACGGCUCACCAAGCCGACGAUCAGUAGCCGGCCUGAGAGGGUGGACGGCCACAUUGGGACUGAGACACGGCCCAGACUCCUACGGGAGGCAGCAG
rnacentral:rRNA from 1 species